UAGAAAUGAAACAAAGGGGAAAGUUUUGAUAAGCAGAGAUGAAGGUGCGGAAAGAGGACAGGGCAAGAGGAAGAACGUUGCACGAGGAAGAACCUGGCAGAGGCCAAUCAGUCAAAAAAAAAAGGAAAAACUGUGGCAAGGAAGUAUAUCUAAGGAAGCAAAGAAGGAAAAGAUGCAACUGCUCACCUGGCUGCCACAUCAUUUUCUUUGUCCCACGUGUACCAAUACCAAGAAAACAGGAACAAAAAAUUGAGGCUGAAGGACUGGACAAUCUGUGUCAGUCAUUUAAAUGAAAAAAUAAAGUUCAUUUCCAG
rnacentral:lncRNA from 1 species